GGUCCCGUGGGGUAGUGGGUAACAUGCCUGCCUGUCACGCAGGAGAUCGCCGGUUCGACCCCGGUCGGGACCGCCA
rnacentral:tRNA from 1 species